UAUUAUGAGAGUUUGAUCCUGGCUCAGGACGAACGCUGGCGGCGUGCCUAAUACAUGCAAGUCGAACGCUUCUUUCCUCCCGAGUGCUUGCACUCAAUUGGAAAGAGGAGUGGCGGACGGGUGAGUAACACGUGGGUAACCUACCCAUCAGAGGGGGAUAACACUUGGAAACAGGUGCUAAUACCGCAUAACAGUUUAUGCCGCAUGGCAUAAGAGUGAAAGGCGCUUUCGGGUGUCGCUGAUGGAUGGACCCGCGGUGCAUUAGCUAGUUGGUGAGGUAACGGCUCACCAAGGCCACGAUGCAUAGCCGACCUGAGAGGGUGAUCGGCCACACUGGGACUGAGACACGGCCCAGACUCCUACGGGAGGCAGCAGUA
rnacentral:rRNA from 1 species